GUCUAGCAACAUUGUUGUGGGUGUUCUCAUCCUGGCAACCAACGUGAACUUGGAGUCUGGGGAGGAGGGGGCAGGGGAGACGACUCUCUCCAGUAUUUUGAAUUUUUUUUACCAAUCUCU